AAACGUCGGCUGGUAGUCGUGGAAGAUACGUACGUUGUACUUUGGUCGAUUAACUUAUGUUAUUGUGUCAUUGGUAAUAUCGAUAAUAUUUUCUGAUUUGUGAUUUUCUUACUGGUAAUGUUAAAAGAUGCCAAGGACAAAUAAAAGGUUUAAAGCAACUGUAGCUGUCACAUAUCAUGAUGAGGAUGGCCAUGUUGAGAGAGAGGAGGUGGAUUUGUCAGAAUUGGUUACUGAGGAUCAUAGAGGAAGCUGUUCUAUUAACAGUCCUGAUAAUUGUGGUGCAUUGGAAGGCCAUGAACUGGGAAUGGAACAAGAUAACAGUGAUCUUGAAAGUGAUGUUCGCCAUGAUUGUGAAGAAUCAGCUUCUUAUUACCAGAAAGUUGAAAGAAAACAAAAAGCAUGGGAAAAUUUGCGACAUUCAGUUAUAAAGAAUACAUUUCAGUUUGCUGGCAAAAAUUGGAGCAAUCGGAAGUGUAUUCAUUGUGAUAAUGAAGCAAAGUUUAGGUGCAGCGAUUGUGGUCCAAUGGCAAAGUAUUGUGAGAACUGUAUGUUAAAGAUGCACACAACCGUAAAUAUUUGUCAUCAUGUUGAAAUAUUUUAGGAUGGCAUGUUUUGGCCAUAUAAACUCAUGAACAUGCUGGUGUAUGAUUGUUCAUGCCAAACAGCUCGUCACAAAAGAAGUGUUUCUGUUGUUGAUGUUAAAGGCACCUUUUGUACUGUUGAGGUACAGUUUUGCUCAUGCUCUUCCGAGUUUGUUCAACUUCUGCAAUUUGGCCUUUGGGGUGGAACACCUACAAAACCAAGAAUUGCAAUUGAGUUUUUUGAAUUGGUUCAUUCUGUGCAGAUGGAAUGCCAGGCAUCAAUAAAAAGCAUUUGUCAGUCA